rnacentral:rRNA from 1 species
UGGGGAAUUUUGGACAAUGGGCGAAAGCCUGAUCCAGCAAUGCCGCGUGUGUGAAGAAGGCCUUCGGGUUGUAAAGCACUUUUGUCCGGAAAGAAAUCCUCUGGGUUAAUACCUCGGGGGGAUGACGGUACCGGAAGAAUAAGCACCGGCUAACUACGUGCCAGCAGCCGCGGUAAUACGUAGGGUGCAAGCGUUAAUCGGAAUUACUGGGCGUAAAGCGUGCGCAGGCGGUUUUGUAAGACGGAUGUGAAAUCCCCGGGCUUAACCUGGGAACUGCAUUCGUGACUGCAAGGCUAGAGUAUGGCAGAGGGGGGUAGAAUUCCACGUGUAGCAGUGAAAUGCGUAGAGAUGUGGAGGAAUACCGAUGGCGAAGGCAGCCCCCUGGGCCAAUACUGACGCUCAUGCACGAAAGCGUGGGGAGCAAACAGGAUUAGAUACCCUGGUAGUCCACGCCCUAAACGAUGUCAACUAGUUGUUGGGGAUUCAUUUCCUUAGUAACGUAGCUAACGCGUGAAGUUGACCGCCUGGGGAGUACGGUCGCAAGAUUAAAACUUAAAUGAAUUGAC